UGACUCCUGUACUCCACUGGAUCAAGAAGAGUAGGGGGAGUUGGGAUGUCUCCCAUCAACAUCACGUAGCAUGGAGCCCCUGGACAGUUCUGGAGGACUCUGUACACAGCUUUGGCAACAUCAGUCUCCUGAAGAUAUUCUAUAGUCAUAUCAACAGCUUCAAGUUCUGUAAGAAACAGUGUUUUGACCAGCUAAAGAAGUCAUCGGCCAGCUGAGAAGGUGAGACUGAUGACAGCUUGGCUAAGUGCUCACAUACUAAGGAAUACAUCAUCACCAGGCCUGUCACGUGUCACCUGC